rnacentral:rRNA from 1 species
GAUGAACGCUGGCGGCGUGCCUAAUACAUGCCAGUCGAGCGAACAGACGAGGAGCUUGCUCCUCUGACGUUAGCGGCGGACGGGUGAGUAACACGUGGAUAACCUACCUAUAAGACUGGGAUAACUUCGGGAAACCGGAGCUAAUACCGGAUAAUAUAUUGAACCGCAUGGUUCAAUAGUGAAAGACGGUUUUGCUGUCACUUAUAGAUGGAUCCGCGCCGCAUUAGCUAGUUGGUAAGGUAACGGCUUACCAAGGCAACGAUGCGUAGCCGACCUGAGAGGGUGAUCGGCCACACCGGAACUGAGGCACGGUCCAGACUCCUACGGGAGGCAGCAGUAGGGAAUCUUCCGCAAUGGGCGAAAGCUUGACGGAACAACGCCGCGUGAGUGAUGAAGGUCUUCGGAUCGUAAAACUCUGUUAUUAGGGAAGAACAAAUGUGUAAGUAACUAUGCACGUCUUGACGGUACCUAAUCAGAAAGCCACGGCUAACUACGUG